AACGCACAUUGCGCUCUCUGGUAUUCCGGAGAGCAUGCUUGUUUGAGUAUCAGUAAACACCUCAACUCCUUUAUUGUAGUUGGACUUGAGCUAUCCCAACAGGACUUUUUGUUCCUGGCGGGAGGCUUGAAAUGCAGGUGCAGCUGGACUUUCUUCUGAGCUAUAAGCAUAUUUAUUUAAUCCCUUAACACGGAUUAUUACUUUUGCUGCAGCUAACAUAAAGGAUAAUUGUCCUCUUUGCUGACUGAUGCAGGAUUUUACGACACUUUAUGUGUUGUUCAACUCGAUCUCAAAUCAAGUAAGACUACCCGCUGAACUUAA
rnacentral:misc_RNA from 1 species